rnacentral:rRNA from 1 species
UACGGAGGGAGCUAGCGUUGUUCGGAUAUACUGGGCGUAAAGCGCACGUAGGCGGCGCCGUAAGUCAGGGGUGAAAUCCCGGAGCUCAACUCCGGAACUGCCCUUGAAACUGCAGUGCUAGAAUCUUGGAGAGGCGAGUGGAAUUCCGAGUGUAGAGGUGAGAUUCGUAGAUAUUCGGAAGGACACCAGUGGCGAAGGUGACUCGCUGGACAAGUAUUGACGCUGAGGCGCGAAAGCUAGGGGAGCAAACAGG